GAAGUUUAAGACCUUUUUAUUAAUAAAAAAGUACAAUAAUUAAACUGAACAAGAUUGCUUAGUCCCCAAGCACACACCCUGCAUGGAUGCCAUAGUGGAGGGUCUCUGAAGUAGAACAGAGUAAUCUCUAAGUGGCCAUGCUAACAGAGGCAAAUCUUGAGUAUCUCCAGGUGCAUAACAGACUUGUUUAUGAGAGAUUGCUCAUGAUUCUAGCCUCAAAGCCAUGCCUCUGGAGCAAGAACUAGUAUAAAAUAGAGGAAAAACAAGGUGUUGCUCUAAAGCACUAAAAUAAUGGGGCACAAACAUAAGAGUUACAGAGACUAAAGCUUAAUAUACUGUCUUAUAAUUUAUUUAAACAAACUAACAAUGACAAAAAAUCCAACUGAUCCUUUCACUGCAGGCUCCUUUCCCCAACACAAAAAAGAGAACCAGUUUCUGGCACUGCUCACCUGUGUGACUGCCUGUCAAAAAACAGGGAUGGACACCACUAGGAACUCUCUUCCCCUUUUAAUUCUGUGAUACAAUGAAAACAGCAUGGCAUACAGCAUAGUUAUAAAGUAAUGUCCAACACAGCUACUUGUAGCGACUCUAGGAAAGGAAGGAGAGCUUUUAACAGUUAACAAAAUAGUAUCUCUUCCCCUGACCCCACCCCAACACCAGAAAAGGAAAUGGAAAUUAAAACCAGUGUUU
rnacentral:lncRNA from 1 species